rnacentral:rRNA from 1 species
AUGAAGGUUGGGAGCCAGAUGAAGCAGAUGGGGAAGCUGAACAAGGCGCUCAAGGAGAAGAGGGCCAAGCUCUACAUCAUCCACCGCUGCGUCGUCAUGCUCCUCCGCUGGAGUGAUUGA